UACCCUGAAGGGAGAUUGGUCACAGU
rnacentral:piRNA from 1 species